GUUGACGCUGACCAAAGGACGGCAAGAGCCUGCUGCAAAGUCACAAAUUCAUGGAGGUUGAACUCUUCUGAUGUUUUGAUCCAUUGACGUCAAAGGCGCCGGGUCUGUUGGCAAACCGCAGAAAAUUGUCCACAGUAGGUUUGUCUUCAUUUGGAUGAGGAGCAUCUCUGCACGCAGCAGUGAGGAGCCAUUGUUGGUAACGUUAACUCCAGUCUGUGGGAUACGCAUAACUGCUGGCAGAAGGGGACGCCCCAGGAGAGCUGAGUGAGAAAUAAAAAGGUGUGCGUUGUUCCGCCUCGAAGCAUGGGCCUGAGAAUCCUCCCCCCGCACC